AGGUUUCUGUAAGAGUCCCUCGGGAGGGAGGUCAGAGACGGUGGUCCAAGAUCACCCUUGGGCUAAGCCGAUCAGGUCCGGCUGGGAAACAGAAACAGGGUUGGUAAAAUGCCGUGACUGGGGAGUAACCGACUUCCUUGUUCGUGCACCUGAGUGACCUUCUUGGGGUCCUUAGGCGACCUGAACUCACCAAGUCCAGCCACGCCCCAACUCCCUCAGCCGCCAGUCAUCUGACCAAUCUGUUGUUGGUCAGGUGACAGCGGCGGAGCGCACUUAGCCGAAGGCGGAAGGCCGGCGGUAGGCCAGUCUCUGGAGCUGGCAAAAAAGGUUUGGGGCUGCCCUGGUGACAUGCUGUUCCCAGAGGUCCCCUGGCUGGUGCGCAUGCGCUUGGCGCUCCCGCUGCUAUGGCACCUGCUGUCGCUCCUGCCCCGAUGCGGGGCCACGAACCCCGGGGGGCUCUACGACCCUACGUGGGAGUCUCUGGAUAGCAGGCCACUGCCCUCCUGGUUCGACCAGGCCAAGUUCGGCAUCUUCAUCCACUGGGGAGUGUUCUCCGUGCCCAGCUUCGGGAGUGAAUGGUUCUGGUGGUAUUGGCAGAAGGAAAAGAGACCCAAGUUUGUGGAUUUUAUGAACGAUAAUUACCCCCCUGGUUUUAAAUAUGAAGAUUUUGGAGUGCUAUUUACAGCCAACUAUUUUAAUGCCAACCAGUGGGCAGAUAUUCUCCAGGCCUCUGGUGCCAGAUAUGUUGUAUUAACCUCCAAACAUCAUGAAGGCUUUACCUUGUGGGGUUCACCCUAUUCCUGGAAUUGGAAUGCAGUUGAUGAGGGGCCAAAGAGGGACAUUGUCAAGGAGCUUGAGGUGGCCAUCAAGAACAACACCGACCUGCGCUUUGGACUGUACUAUUCUCUUUUUGAAUGGUUCCACCCACUCUUCCUGGAGGACGAAUCCAGUUCAUUCCAAAAGCAGCAAUUUCCCAUUUCUAAGACGUUGCCUGAGCUCUAUGAGUUAGUGAACAAGUACCAGCCCGACGUCCUGUGGUCAGAUGGAGAUGGGGGUGCACCAGAUCACUACUGGAACAGUACUGGUUUCUUAGCCUGGCUGUAUAAUGAAAGCCCAGUUCGGAAGACAGUGGUCACCAAUGAUCGUUGGGGAGCUGGUUCCAUCUGCCAUCAUGGUGGCUUCUAUACCUGCAGCGACCGUUAUAAUCCUGGACAUCUUUUGCCACAUAAAUGGGAAAACUGCAUGACAAUAGAUAGGUUCUCCUGGGGCUAUCGGCGGGAAGCUGGAAUCAAUGAUUAUCUUACAAUUGAAGAAUUGGUGGAGCAACUUGUGGAAACCGUCGCAUGUGGAGGAAAUCUUUUGAUGAAUAUUGGUCCCACACUAGAUGGCAUCAUUCCUGUAAUUUUUGAAGAGCGAUUAAGGCAGAUGGGAACGUGGCUCAAAGUCAAUGGGGAAGCUAUUUUUGAAACACACCCUUGGAGAUCUCAGAAUGACACUUGCACUCCAGAUGUGUGGUACACUUCUAAACCUGAGAAACGAAUAGUCUAUGCUAUUUUUCUUAAGUGGUCCAUCUCAGGAAAGCUGUUUCUUGGAGAACCUGUGGGUAGUCUGGGGGAGACAGAGGUAAAACUACUGGGCCAUGGGCAGCCACUGACUUGGACUUCUUCAAAGCCAAAUGGCAUCACGGUGGAGUUGCCACACCUAAGCUUUCAUCAGAUGCCCUGUCAAUGGGGAUGGACUCUCGCACUAACUAAUGUGACUUAACUGAAGCUGAGAUGUAUACUACAGGUAUCUCUAACCCCAGGGAAUAACAGGUUUUUUAAUAAGAGCACUGAAGAAAUCAUGAUAAAAAUGUGUACUCCUUAAUUCAAAAGCACAGAUUUACUCUACCUGGGGUCAACAAGAACAUGCACACAAAGACUAUGUGCCCUAAACUCAGGGACUUUUUAUCUUGCAAUUGAUGCUAUGUGGGUUGAGUUUUCCAGUUCCCUAGGAAUCAAAUAAACUUCCCCCUCAACUUCUUGGCCUCCUGACGUCUCGUCUCUAAAUCCUGAAGCAGCACUGAUUGAAAGCGCCUCCCUUUGAGCAGCUGGACUGAAGAGCUGAGGCUGAGCAUGUCAUGAGAGAACAUGGGUCAGGCUCAUAGCCUGCAUCCCUCAGGCUCAAAGGGGCUACAACCUUCACUAUCAUGGAUCCAUAUGCAGUUUGGUGGCACUUGUGGACCCUUAUUCAGAAUCAUGACUACAAAUGCAAACAACAAAACUUACUUUUUUAUUUUGAUUAUCAGGCUUAAAUGUAUAACUGAUUAAAAUGUAAAGUAUGUGGUUGCUGUAUUAUAUAUUAUACUCUGUUUUAUUUCUCAAGAAUUUGUCAGAAUGGAUGUCUAUAGGUCAUUCUAGAGAUGUUGGCAGAAGCAGAAAAACUGUGAGCCUUAUGGUUCAGGGACAUGCCAUCAGCCUCCUUUACUGUUUCUUCUGCAGUGUGAAUGGCCAGCUCUUAGGGGUGGGAGGCAUGACUAGAGAGAACAGGGCAGGGCCACCUGGAUGUAAAGAAUGGGCUAAUGACUGGACAGGCCAGGAAGAAGCUCAGUCCUUAAGCAGGGGCACUCUGCACUGUGCCAAGAGGGCAAAGUCUACAUAGAAACUGUUUCCGACCAUGACACUAACAGACAUCACAUGUGCAUGCAGGCCUCAGACUCUGCAUGGAGCUUUACUGCAGCACUUUGUAAAACACUCGAAACUUACAGCACAGUCCCCAAGGUUGUCAAUGACUGAAAACAGUACAUGGGUUCAAAGCCAUCCUUUCAAUAAAAUGCUUUCCCAAAUAAAUUCUGAAGAGAGGAAUGGAGCUGUAAGUAGUCUGGCAGAAACUUCAUAUACCUUGCGAUUAUGUUUUAGUGAACAGACUAUUAUUCAAUAAUUAACAGCUGUUUUGUUAGAUGAGAACAUCUUAUUCUGCCACAUUUUUUCAGUUUCUUUCCAACUGAAGAACUGCAUUGUUAAUGCAGAGCAUAAUGUUACAUAGAUCAGGCCAUUUGCACCACAGCGCAGUCUAACGGGUCAGAGGUGUGGGGAAGGUAUUGCUGUGGAUUUGCUGUCGUCAAGCUCUGCUCCUCUUUGCAGCACGCUACCUCUCUGAAUAUGGUUGCAAGCUUCUGUUUUCAGCAAAUUAUCCCAGCAGGAAUGUACUUUUGUGUUGGAAACAGCACAGCAUGAACAGAGCUUGUUUUCAAUAUUCCCAGCUUCCUGCGUACCUGCACGAAAUGACUAGGCGUUUCACUGCAAACUGAGUGGAUCUGUCCGUUUACUAUGGGAAUUAUCUUAGCUAAAGGCAGGCUGACACUGGACAGACUGAAAAAGACAAACAAACAAAGAAACCAAACCAUAUUACCACAGUUACGUUCUGAAAUUAUAUCAUAGGCAUUAACAAUUCAAUUAUAAAAGUAUACACACAUCAUUGAAGAAUACUUACAUAAGUGUUAAUAGAAAAACAAAACAUAACUUCCCCAUCUAAAAAUAACAACUAUUGCUGACUUCAUGGAUAUUUCCUUCUAAGCAGUUUUUAUUCUUUUACAGCUUAAAACUCUAUCAAGCAUAUUUUUGUUAAAAGUGCCUUUCGUAACUUCUUCAUCUCUGUCUGUUAUUUUUAAUGAUUAGAUGGCAGUUACUACCAUUGAGCCACGAGUAUCCCCAGCUUCUUAGAGCUGGCACUAAAAUUCUUGCCCACACUUUCUUAAUACUUAAGUGUCUGUCUAAACAUGAAAUGUGAGGCCUGCAAUAUCCACUGCCGGAUACCUCCGGGCCCUUUACUGAUGUGGAAUUCCUGCACCAGUACACCAUUAGCCCCUCUUCCACAUCACACUGUGCAUCUCUGUCUGCCUGUAUUUCCGGGACUUCUCAGUCCAUUAGCUAGCCACGUUCCCUUUACUAUCACUUGACAGGCUGAACGCCAACGAAACAGCUGUCUCCAGCCUCCAGUGGGGUUUCUCCAGUAUUUUGACUAUAUUUAUAGAUUAAUUUUAGGAGAAGAAUUUAACCCCUUUAGUUAAUUUUCCUGGGUUUGUUACUGUCACACAUUAUUACAAUCUUACAUCUUUAUGUAAGUAUAUAAUGUAUGUAUAUACUUAUGAAAGUAUAUAUGUAACUUAGGAAAUUAAGAGUCAAUUAACAAUUUAAUAGUUGUCUGGCUUAAAGAUAAAUAUAGGAAAAUUCAAUGGUGCUCCUAAAUUUUUGUCUCCAGAACUGGUCUUUCUUUAGCCUUGUCACAGUCAUCGAAAAAAGCAAAAGUGCAAUGCUGAGCAUCCCAAUACAGACGAUCUUCAUGCUGUUUCUGAAUUUAAUAAAAGUCAACCUGUUUAGUCAAUAA